UAUAUGUCCACAGAGGUGUUUGCAAGACGAUCUCUGUUAUAUGGGAGAUGCUGUUCCUUUAUUGAUGGAUGGCCUUAUGUUUGCCUCUGUGAGCUGUCUUUUGCCCCAGCUUUAGGUCCCCUAGUGGAUUUUUAAGGGAUUCGGUUACCUGCAUCUCUAUCCCCGACACGUCUUCUUUUGCCUGGGGACUGUAAUGUGUAUUUGCUCAUGUCAUUAUUGACAUAUUUGGCCUGGACCUGCGAUCAUCGAACUCUAAACAUAUUUUUUGUACUAUCUACUACCAUCGGUAUAUAUUUCAUCUAUCAUUGGAAUCUUCCUGGAUGAUUAAAUCCACCGCUGUGUAUCAGAUUGUGAAAAUCAUGGCUACAUAGUAGCAAUAAUCCUGUUCAUUUCGUCCUGAAGAAGCCCCACGGUGAAACGCAUAGG